UUAUCCAGCGUGCGGAAUAUCUGCUCCGCGUACUCCGCCGACUCUUUUCCCACGGUUCCGUUGCAGAAGUGUCGUCUGAACUCGUGAAGGGUGAUCAAACCGCUGGGACAUUCAUUCAGGAACUUCCUGCCAGGGUAAAGUUGCGGCCUGUCCCAUCUUCAUCAAUGCAACAAAAUCAACAACCGCAGAGACGCAUAUAUAGCAAAGCCCAGCUUACUUCUCCCACUUAAUCAUUCUUACCCAAACCCUUCUGCAUCUGUGAAAUUAAACUACAGUAAUCUCCCCUCGGGAGGCCGACAGACAGAAGAAUGAGCGGCGAGCUCCAGAGCAAAGCCGAGCCGCUCCGACGGGGAGCUCAGCCUGCACCUGUAAUCCCGCUGCACGCAAACACCAGAGAGAGUCAGGCUGCUUGAAAGCAUGAUUUCCCCA